AUUAAAAUCUUCAUUGAGAGUUUGAUCCUGGCUCAGGAGGAACGUUGGCGGCGUGUCUAAGGCAUGCAAGUCGAGGGAUCGGAUAAGAGCUUGCUCUUAUUACGGACCGGCAAACGGGUGAGUAACACAUUAGUAACCUACCUCUGAGUCGAGCAUAGCCCACCGAAAGGUGGAUUAAUACUCGAUAGUCAUGGGGGGAUGUAAAUCAUUCCCAUGUAAAGAUUUAUCGCUCAGAGAGGGGCUUAUGGCAGAUUAGCUAGUUGGUAGGG
rnacentral:rRNA from 1 species